ensembl:lncRNA
AGGAAUAGCAUUCAGCUGAAUAAUGGUUAAAAAAUUAUACAGAAUACCAGAGAGAGAUGAAACGAUAUUCCACCCGGCAGCUCAGGUGCAAACUUCAUCAGUAGCAGGGUGGGGGUAGCGUUGGAAGAUGGAACAGAGAUAUUAUUACUCAAAAUGUUAGAGUGUUAAUAUACUUUUGCUCAGGACCAGGGAAGGAGGGUGCCUUUUUGGGGAGGGAAAAGGCACUUUGGGGGUCUGUGUGGCUUUGAGGAUGGAGAUAUCUUUAUUUAGAGGCAAAUUUGGCUGUAGUGAAUUACAGGGAAGAUGAGGAGAGGGACUCAUAGCUAAGGAGAGAGUGGAAAGCAAGGCGUUGUUUCCCUUUUCAUUUCCUUUUUAAUUACUGGGUCAAUUCACUAAUUAGGAAAAGAGCCUGGAAUUUGGAGGUCCAACCAUGAUUCUGUGCUUCAGAGAAGGCACUUUGUGGUUACAAAGAUUGUAUCAGUGGUAAAAGAUCCCCAUAAGUAAAUAAUACUAGAUAUAAUUGGAAGAGUAACUUGUCACCUAAAGUUGUCUAAUUUGCAUCCAAGAAAUAAUUUAAAUAAUGAAAGUCACUAGCUUAAAAAAAAGAUCCAUGAAAACGUUAAAAUGUAUGUGACUAUAUUUGGCAAGAUGUUUUGUAGUUGAGAAAACUAUGCCCCAUAUACUUCACAGAUACAAAAAUACAAACUAGCACAAAGCAUGUAAUUAGAUUUUAAAAUGACAAAUAGGGAAAUAGUACUGAAAAUAUCUAGUCAGGCUAAAGAAAAACUACUUGCAAUGAGAGAGACGAGAAAAAACUUUUCUAAACUGUGGCAGUUGCUUAUGAACCUGUCGGUACUAUUAACAAUACAGAAUGGUUAUUUUGACAGGGCAAAUGCUGUCAAGUUAGCUUUAGAAUAGUAAAAAUAACUUUGGCUUUGGAAACUGAACGACAUGCAUUUGAACCUUAGUUUUGUCGUCUUCCUAGCUGUGUGAGGACCCAAUAUGACAAUGUUUGGGGAAUGUGCUAUAACAGGUAAAGACCAAUACAAAAGAAGAGCUUUGGGUAUUAAAGGCAUUGUUUCCAGAAAAGUGGAUGGAGUCCAUAGAUUAAAUGAAAAGAGGACACCACUGCUUAAGCAGAAGAGAACCAAUACGCCAUACUGAAAUUGAAGGCAUUUUUUUUAGUAGUGUUGUAGAAUUGUUUUUCAGAUGUAGCAUUUGUGGUAGGCAGCCCUUAAGAUGUUCGCUAAUGAUCCCCACCUCCUGGUAUUCACAUCCUUGUGUAGUCCCCUCUCACAUUGUACCAGGGAUGAACUGUGUCCAAUAGAAUAUGGCAGAAGUAAUGGCACGUAAGUUCUGAGGGUAAGUGAAGAAGACACUGUAGCUUCUCUGUCUCUGUCUCUGUCUGUGUUUAUGAUCAUUCACUCCACAGGAAGCCAGCUGCUGUGUUGUGAGCUGCCCUAUGGAGAAGCCCAUGUGGUAAGGAACUGAGGCGUCGGAGCAACAGUUGCAUGAGUGAGUUUGGAAGCAGAUCCUUCAACCCAGCCAAGCCUUCGGAUGACUUCAGCCAUAGUGAACUAAAACGUCAUGAGACCCUGAGCCAGAACCACCUAGCUAAGCUACUCUUGGAUUCCUGACCUCAGAAACUGUCCCAGUACAUGGUUAUAUAGCCUGGUUGUAAGUCCUUCUCGUUCUUCUACGUGAGCUGCUGCCACAGCAUGGCAACUGAACGGACGAGUGGUGUAGUUUCAGGACCCGGAAAUGAACGUGGGCCGCCAAAGUGUGUAUCUUUGGAGUGGUUUCCUGCAAGCAGAUUUGUUGGAUUAAAAGAGAGUAAGAGAUGCGCUAUAUAAGACACGGAUGCCCAAGGAUUCACAUUUUGAUGAAAUGAAGCAUGAAGUUUUUGUUUCCCUGCAGCAGUGGAGUGACACACAACUCAUGAGAAGCUGUUCAUGACCAUUCUAAAAGCAGUGCGCAACAUCUGGUAGAACUGAG